rnacentral:rRNA from 1 species
UUGAAAGGGAAACGAUUGAAGUCAGUCGUACCAGCGGGAAAUCAACCUUUCGAGUGGGGGUUUUGGAGUUUUGAAGAGUUUCAAAACCUUUGAGAUUUCAAAAAUUUCGCUCUUUUGGUGUACUUUCUCGUGGGUAGGUUAACAUCGAUUUUGAUCAUCAUAAAAAGAUUGGAGGAAUGUAGCUUCGAUCUUGUAUUGAAGUGUUAUAGCCUUUGGUAAAUGUGAUGAUUAGGAUCGAGGAUUGCAACGAAUACCCUUUUGGGCUAUCCGCCUGAUCUCUGAUACGUGGCCUUGGUAUCGAAAGCUUGCUUAUGGUAUCAAGGUAUUACGGUCAAAAGGUUAGAACGGAUUACAUUCGUUAAGGAUGUUGACGUA